rnacentral:misc_RNA from 1 species
GAUGAAGAACGUAGCGAAAUGCGAUAAGUAAUGUGAAUUGCAGAAUUCAGUGAAUCAUCGAAUCUUUGAACGCACAUUGCGCCCCCUGGUAUUCCGGGGGGCAUGCCUGUUCGAGCGUCAUUUCACCACUCAAGCCUCGCUUGGUAUUGGGCAACGCGGUCCGCCGCGUGCCUCAAAUCGACCGGCUGGGUCUUCUGUCCCCUAAGCGUUGUGGAAACUAUUCGCUAAAGGGUGUUCGGGAGGCUACGCCGUAAAACAACCCCAUUUCUAAGGUUGACCUCGGAUCAGAUAGGGAUACCCGCUGAACUUAAGCAUAUCAAUAAGCGGAGGA